rnacentral:rRNA from 1 species
AUGCAAGAUUACCUAGUUGGUGGGGUAAAGCCCUACAAAGCCGACGAUCUGUAGCUGGUCUGAGAGGACGACCASCCACACUGGGACUGAGACMCGCCCCAGACCCUACGGGAGGCAGCAGUGGGGAAUUUUGGACAAUGGGGGCAACCCUGACCMAGMAAUGCCGCGUGUGUAAAAAAGCCCAAAGGGUUGUAAAGCACUUUUGUCCGGAAAGAAACCCUCUGGGUUAAUACCCCGGGGGGAUGACGGUACCGGAAGAAUAAGCACCGGCUAACUACGUGCCAGCAGCCGCGGUAAUACGUAGGGUGCAAGCGUUAAUCGGAAUUACUGGGCGUAAAGCGUGCGCAGGCGGUCCGCUAAGACAGAUGUGAAACCCCCGGCCUUAACCUGGGAACUGCAUUUGUGACUGGCGGGCUAGAGUAUGGCAGAGGGGGGUAGAAUUCMACGUGUAGCAGUGAAAUGCGUAGAGAUGUGGAGGAAUACCGAUGGCGAAGGCAGCCCCCUGGGCCAAUACUGACGCUHAUGCACGAAAGCGUGGGGAGCAAACAGGAUUAGAUACCCUGGUAGUCHACGCCCUAAACGAUGUCAACUAGUUGUCGGGUCUNDAUUGACUUGGUAACGUAAU